rnacentral:rRNA from 1 species
AUUGAACGCUGGCGGCAGGCCUAACACAUGCAAGUCGAGCGGAUGAAGGGAGCUUGCUCCUGGAUUCAGCGGCGGACGGGUGAGUAAUGCCUAGGAAUCUGCCUGGUAGUGGGGGAUAACGUCCGGAAACGGGCGCUAAUACCGCAUACGUCCUGAGGGAGAAAGUGGGGGAUCUUCGGACCUCACGCUAUCAGAUGAGCCUAGGUCGGAUUAGCUAGUUGGUGGGGUAAAGGCCUACCAAGGCGACGAUCCGUAACUGGUCUGAGAGGAUGAUCAGUCACACUGGAACGUAGACACGGUCCAGACUCCUACGGGAGGCAGCAGUGGGGAAUAUUGGACAAUGGGCGAAAGCCUGAUCCAGCCAGGCCGCGUGUGUGAAGAAGGUCUUCGGAUUGUAAAGCACUUUAAGUUGGGAGGAAGGGCAGUAAGUUAAUACCUUGCUGUUUUGACGUUACCAACAGAAUAAGCACCGGCUAACUUCGUG